rnacentral:misc_RNA from 1 species
GAUGAAGAACGCAGCGAAAUGCGAUACGUAAUGUGAAUUGCAAAUUCAGUGAAUCAUCGAGUCUUUGAACGCACAUAGCGCCCCCUGGUAUUCCGGGGGGCAUGCCUGUCCGAGCGUCAUUGCUGCCCUCAAGCACGGCUUGUGUGUUGGGCCCCGUCCUCCGAUCCCGGGGGACGGGCCCGAAAGGCAGCGGCGGCACCGCGUCCGGUCCUCGAGCGUAUGGGGCUUUGUCACCCGCUCUGUAGGCCCGGCCGGCGCUUGCCGAUCAACCCAAAUUUUUUAUCCAGGUUGACCUCGGAUCAGGUAGGGAUACCCGCUGAACUUAAGCAUAUCAAUAAGCGGAGGA